UACGAAGGGGGCUAGCGUUGCUCGGAAUCACUGGGCGUAAAGGGUGCGUAGGCGGGUCUUUAAGUCAGGGGUGAAAUCCUGGAGCUCAACUCCAGAACUGCCUUUGAUACUGGGAAGCUCGAGUCCGGAAGAGGUGAGUGGAACUGCGAGUGUAGAGGUGAAAUUCGUAGAUAUUCGCAAGAACACCAGUGGCGAAGGCGGCUCACUGGCCCGGUACUGACGCUGAGGUGCGAAAGCGUGGGGAGCAAACAGG
rnacentral:rRNA from 1 species